rnacentral:rRNA from 1 species
UACACGACCGUACCGCAAACCGACACUGGUGCGCGAGAUGAGUAUUCUAAGGCGCUUGAGAGAACUCAGGAGAAGGAACUCGGCAAAUUGACACCGUAACUUCGGAAGAAGGUGUGCCUUUAGUAGGUGAAGGGAUUUACUCCUGGAGCCCAAUGAGGUUGCAAAAAAUCGGUGGCUGCGACUGUUUAUUAAAAACACAGCACUCUGCAAACACGAAAGUGGACGUAUAGGGUGUGACGCCUGCCCGGUGCUGGAAGAUUAAAUGAUGGGGUUCAAGCUCUUGAUUGAAGUCCCAGUAAACGGCGGCCGUAACUAUAACGGUCCUAAGGUAGCGAAAUUCCUUGUCGGGUAAGUUCCGACCUGCACGAAUGGCGUAACGAUGGCCACACUGUCUCCUCCUGAGACUCAGCGAAGUUGAAAUGUUUGUGAUGAUGCAAUCUCCCCGCGGAAAGACGGAAAGACCCCAUGAACCUUUACUGUAGCUUUGUAUUGGACUUUGAACAGAUCUGUGUAGGAUAGGUGGGAGGCUUUGAAGCAGGGUCGCUAGAUCUUGUGGAGCCAACGUUGAAAUACCACCCUGGUGUGUUUGAGGUUCUAACCUAGGCCCGUAAUCCGGGUUGGGGACAGUGCAUGGUAGGCAGUUUGACUGGGGCGGUCUCCUCCCAAAGUGUAACGGAGGAGUUCGAAGGUACGCUAGUUACGGUCGGACAUCGUGACGAUAGUGCAAUGGCAUAAGCGUGCUUAACUGCGAGACUGACAAGUCGAGCAGAUGCGAAAGCAGGACAUAGUGAUCCGGUGGUUCUGUAUGGAAGGGCCAUCGCUCAACGGAUAAAAGGUACUCUGGGGAUAACAGGCUGAUACCGCCCAAGAGUUCAUAUCGACGGCGGUGUUUGGCACCUCGAUGUCGGCUCAUCUCAUCCUGGGGCUGUAGCCGGUCCCAAGGGUAUGGCUGUUCGCCAUUUAAAGAGGUACGUGAGCUGGGUUUAAAACGUCGUGAGACAGUUUGGUCCCUAUCUUCCGUGGGCGCUGCAGAUUUGAGGAAGCCUGCUCCUAGUACGAGAGGACCGGAGUGGACGCACCUCUGGUGUAUCGGUUGUCACGCCAGUGGCAUUGCCGAGUAGCUAUGUGCGGAAGAGAUAACCGCUGAAAGCAUCUAAGCGGGAAACUCGUUUCAAGAUGAGAUCUGCCGGGGCCUUGAGCCCCCUGAAGAGUCGUUCAAGACCAGGACGUUGAUAGGUCGGGUGUGGAAGCGCAGUAAUGCGUUAAGCUAACCGAUACUAAUUGCUCGUGCGGCUUGACCCU